rnacentral:pre_miRNA from 1 species
AAUGGGAUAGCUGGGUCAAAUGGUGGUUCCAUUCCAAGUUUUCCAAGGAAUCACCAUGCUACUUUCCAGAUUGGCUGCAUCAAUUUGCAGUUCCACCAGCAAU